CUACGGGCGGCAGCAGUGGGGAAUAUUGCACAAUGGGGGAAACCCUGAUGCAGCCAUGCCGCGUGUGUGAAGAAGCCCUGCAGGUUGUAAAAUACUUUCAGCGGGGAGGAAGGCGGUAGCGUUAACAGCGCUAUCGAUUGGCGUUACCCGCAGAAGAAGCAGCGGCACACUCUGUGCCAGCAGCCGCGGUAAUAUGGAGGGUGCAAACGUUAAUCGGAAUUACUGGGCGUAAAGCGUAUGCAGGCGGUUUGUUAAGUCAGAUGUGAAAUCCCCGGGCUUAACCUCGGAACUGCAUUUGAAACUGGCAGGCUAGAGUCUCGUAGAGGGGGGUAGAAUUCCAGGUGUAGCGGUGAAAUGCGUAGCGAUCUGGAGGAAUACCGGUGGCGAAGGCGGCCCCCUGGACGAAGACUGACGCUCAGGUACGAAAGCGUAGGGAGCAAACAGGAUUAGAUACCCCGGUAGUC
rnacentral:rRNA from 1 species